UUGCAUCCUUACCUUUUUCCUCCUCUCUGUUCUAUUCGACUGCCACCACCAGGGGUGAUCAAUCUAGGUAAGUUCAUCUGGAAUCUUGAAGAUUCAUUGAUGAUGGUCUAAUUAGUUUCCUUUGUGAUGUUCUUCCUAAUGCUGGACUCGUGGGAGGCAUAGGAACAGCUCCUUGAUGGAUUUCCUCUAGGCAGAUUACUGGUCUCUAUAUUCUUAUGACUGGGGUCUUGGGUAGCUCUCGGGUGAAGAGUUAAGGGUUCAAUUGAGGAAUUCUUGGUGGUUGUGUGCAGAGAUUGGUAGAGGGCUGUUGAGUUACUGGAUUUGUUGCCUCCCUCAAGGACUUUGAUCUGGACGAGCAGCGUGACGUGAGGUGGUUCUGUUGGAUACGGACUUUUA